AUUGAACGCUGGCGGCAGGCCUAACACAUGCAAGUCGAACGAGUGGCGGACGGGUGAGUAAUGUCUGGGAAACUGCCUGAUGGAGGGGGAUAACUUCUGGAAACGGUACUUAAUACCGCAUACCAUCGGAUGUUCCCAGAUGGGAUUAGCUAGUAGGUGGGGUAACGGCUAACAUAGGCGACGAUCCCUAGCUGGUCUGAGAGGAUGACCGGCCACACUGGAACUGAGACACGGUCCAGACUCCUACGGGAGGCAGCAGUGGGGAAUAUGGCGCAAUGGGCGCAAGCCUGAUGCAGCCAUGCCGCGUGUAUGAAGAAGGCCUUCGGGUUGUAAAGUACUUUCAGCGGGGAGGCGUUACCCGCAGAAGAAGCACCGGCUAACUCCGUGCCAGCAGCCGCGGUAAUUC
rnacentral:rRNA from 1 species